CGCACCCCCUCUCGUCCUGGCUGCGUGGGCCCCGCUUACCCCCGGAGCAGGAGACUCGGAGCCCGGCAGGUCCCACACUCCACGCGAACUGAAUUCCCGCCCGUCUCCUGCCCGGGCGGCCAAGAGGCGGCGGCGGGGAUUGCGGGCUCCGGGAGGCGCUAGGGCUCCGAGAAGCAGCGGAGCCCCGCUCUCCUCCCUCCGCAGUGCCGCUGCCGGCGGGCCGGGAUUCCCGCGGGUCUCGGCGGCGGCGAGCGGGAGGCGGCGCGGGUCCCGGCUCGGUUCCGGCGCGGUUGUUCCCCUCGGCCUUCUCGCCUCCCGCGCUUCCACCCGGCACGGAGCUCUCCUCUGCACGCCUCCCUGGCCCGUCCCGUUUUCCCUCUUCUCCUUCUAGACCUAGCGUCGCAACUCCGCCAACCUACGGCGGCCCCGAGAGCGCGUCCGGCGCGGGCCGAGUCCGACCGGCCCUGGCUUUCCGCCUCGUACAGGUUCCCCUUCCUCCGGGCUACGCGGACCAGGACUCAUGGCUGACCUGGGACAGAUGGAGUGACCUGUCCUGCGCACUCCCAGAGACGAGGUUUGGGCCAAUUCAGGCAUGUGGCGAAGAGGCAGAUUUUGGUUCAGUUCCAGGAAGAACUUUCCAACAGUUGCUGAUGCUUUAACCAUGAAGGAGGCGAAAAAGGAGUUUCAGUCCCCGGAGACCUUGAGCAGAACACGGACUUGCCAAGGAAAGCUGUAGAAGGGAGCCAGGCUCCAGAUGGGUGUCCUCGUUGAUUUCUGGGGGUCCGCGAACCCCAAGAGCGCGGCUCCCCAGAGGUGGUGCUGCUCCCUUGGAGCCUGUCCCCUGGCUCGUUUUGCUACAUACUCAGCCCGAGAGUACUUGUGGUGCUUAAAAUGAGCAGUUCUGUAAAGCUCCCUCUUGUAGAUCUGGCCCAGGCUGCUGUGGCGAUAACAGAUGAGACUUGGAAGCCCACUUCAGCCUCUGGAGAGGGGCUCCCUACGUCCAUCUCCCAUGUGGACUCAGCCCCAGAGCCACACAAGCUCCUGGCCUUUUAAAGUUAUCAUCUCGCCCACUGCAUAUUAAUCCUCACCCCCAGCAGCAGUGAGAGCGAGAUCAGAUGACUUUUUCUCCUUUCCUUUUCGGCGUCCCUCCCAGCCCUCCUUCCUGCUAAAGGGAGACCUGACCACCUGCUGGAAGAUCUGUUGGCUUGGACUUUGGAGCACGUGUGCCCCAGCUCAACUGUUUGCUGUUGGUCCCUCUGCCAUCACUGGAACUCUUCUGGGAUGUGAAUUGGGGCUCCCUGACCCCUGUCUGGGUUUGGAUUCCAGGCUUCCCCGACUAGACCUCCCUGCCCAGUUGCCUCAGUCCAUUCCCAGGCAGCCUCACCUGGAUAUGGUUCCCUGCACGUGUGGCUGCCCUGCAGGGACAGGGACUGUCUUCCCUACCUGCCCCAGGCUCCCAAGCCCCAGCUCACAGCUGUGCUGGAACAGGAGUGUGAUGGAUCAUUCCGGUGCCUCAGCUCUUAUCUUGCCGUCAUCAAAUGCCUCCCCUCCCCUUACAGUCCUCUCCCUUCACCGAUGGUUUUGGAUGGAAUUUAAAAUAAAAAAGAUUGAUUAAAAGUUGGAAA